CUCUUCACUUCCUGUUUCCGGCUGAAGUUGGUACCGCAUAGCUUCCUGUUCAGGUUACCUGGUGUCAUGCCUCCCUACUACUGUGGACUCUUUCUCUGAAACUGGUAAAGUGGUAUGGAUUUGCCAGCCAUCUGCCUUUAAGCCAUUCAACGGCAAUGUACAUGAAUUCUUUCCAUCUUUAAAGGUGUGUUGUCUCCAUGCAUGUCCACACACCACAUGUAUGCCUGGACCCCCUGGAACUACCACUAAAGAUGACUGUGAGAUCUGGCAUAUAGAUGCUGGGAAUCCAACCUGGGUCCUCUGAAGAACAGCCAGUGCUCUUAAAGCUGAGCCAUCUCUCUAGCCCCUUACUCUCAGUUCUGGAAAGGAUUCAUUAGCUGAGAUUUGAUUUCUUACUUGAGUAACAGUCAAAGGCUUGUUAAGCUUUUUGAACUCAGUUUUCUUUUGAUUGGAAAUUAAAAACAAUCACUUGUAUCUUUGUUA